AAGGAACUGGGUAUGUUUAGCCUGGAGAAAGAAGAGUGAGGUGUUCCAAGAGGACGCUUUUCAAAUACCUGAAGGACUUGUUCAGUGGAAGAGGGCAAAGACUUGUUCCCUGCUGCCACAAAGGACACUGGAUGAAACCUCGUGCCUGCCUGGAGGAAGUGUGUAACCGGAGACAUCUCUUCGCCUGCUACUGCAUCAUAAAUUAUGGACGGCUCAUCGACUGUGGUGGGUUUACGACAGCAGGAAAUCUUUUUUUAAAAACACCAAAACAGGAUGAAAUGAGAGUGCUGGGUAGUACCAAGAGCAAGGCAGCGGGCUGGACUCUAGCCUUACUUUCUCUAUGGAGCGGCCGUUGCCGAUGACGACAAAUCCAGAGUGCGCCAUGACGUGCUAGUUCUUGGCGCUGUCGCCGGUUGUCAUGGUGACCAGCUUUCCCGGAUGGUGGUUGUGGCUACGCCGCGAAAGAGUCUUCGUGACCCAUGAACAGCGCGGACGCGGAGGGGUCUGCCCGUGAGAGGGGCGUGCACAGCGCCUGCACCCAGACGGAUGGCUUGUCAGGCCAGAUUCCAAGGCUUUCUAAAGUCAACCUUUUUACUUUACUCAGUCUUUGGAUGGAAAUUUUCCCCUCAGUUGAACAACAAAAGAAAUCACAGGUAAAGAAAGCUGGUCUUGUUGUUGUGAAGAAUAUGAAGAUUGUUGGUCUGCAUUGCUCCAGUCAAGAUUUGCAUGCUGGUCAGAUUGCACUUAUUAAAUACGGAUCAAGGCUUCAAAAUUGUGACCUGUAUUUUUCAAGGAAGCCAUGUUCAAUGUGUUUAAAAAUGAUUGUAAACGCUGGAGUAAACAGAAUUUCCUAUUGGCCUGCAGAUCCUGAAAUAAGUCUGCAGUAUGAAGUAUCUAAUGGAGAUGCUAAGUUAGAUGCCAAAGCAGUAGAAAGACUGAAAUCAAACAGUCGUGCCCAUGUGUGUGUGUUGCUUCAGCCUUUGAUCUGUCAUAUGAUGCAGUUUGUUGAAGAAUCAUGCUACAAGUGUGACUUCAUUCAAAAAAUUGCUAAAAUUCAGCCUGGGUUGAGCACUGACUUUUAUACAGACUGUAGACAAGAGAGAAUAAAGGAGUAUGAGAGAUUAUUCCUGAUUUCAAGUGAAGAAAUGCACAAGCAAAUGUUAAUCAUCCUAGGACUGGAGAACCUUUGUGAAAAUCCUUAUUUCAGUAAUCUAAGACAGAAUAUGAAAGAUCUUGUCCUCCUCUUAGCUACAAUAGCUGCCAGUGUACCCAGCUUCAGUCAUUUUGGAUUUUAUUGUAAUGAAUCAGAGUUGACCAGUGCAACAAAUCAAACGUUGCCCCAAGAAAUUGCAAGGCAUUGCAUGGUGCAAGCCAGGUUAUUGGCCUACCGAACUGAGGAUCACAAAACUGGAGUUGGAGCAGUCAUCUGGGCAGAAGCAAAUUCAGGAAGUUGUGAUGGAACAGGAGCUCUGUAUUUCAUAGGAUGUGGUUACAAUGCCUUCCCUGUUGGGUCUGAAUAUGCUGAUUUCCCACACAUGGAUGAUAAACAAAAAGACAGAGAAAUCCGAAAAUUCCGAUAUAUCAUACAUGCUGAGCAGAACGCUUUGACAUUCAGGUGUCAAGAGAUAAACCCCGAUGAGAGAAGCAUGAUUUUUGUGACAAAAUGCCCAUGUGAUGAAUGUGUGCCUUUAAUUAAAGGAGCUGGCAUCAAGCUGAUCUAUGCAGGAGAUAUUGAUGUUGGAAAGAAGAAAGCAGAUAUAUCCUACAUGAAGUUUGCUGAACUGGAAGGUGUUGGGAAAUUUACUAAAAACAACUGAGACAUUGGCAGAAGCUCUUCUUGGACUUUAUUUGGGCUUGGCAAAAACAUACACUUCAGGCUAGAACACUUUACAGGAAAAUGGAAGAUGAAGGAGUAGAGAUGCAAAUCUCACUUACUCUUAAGCAGCUUUGGACAAAUUGUAAGUGGCAGUUAAGCCCAUUCUACAGUUGUGCUCCUGAACACCAGACACUCACAGACCAAGAAAGUAAGUACUGUAUGUUUAUAUAAAGAAAAGAAAAUUGAGGGAAGAUUGGGAAGGAAUGCAGGAAAGUGAAGAUGUUUCUGCAAAGUCUUUCUGUGUUUCAAAAAGCUUUGGAAAUCUGGACCAGUUACUGUGGACUUUUCAGUUACUGUGGAAUUUUCCUUUUCAUUUGUUAAAGGCUCUAUGUUCUUUCUUUUGAUAGUCCAGAAGCUUCUGCCCAGAUCCUGUUGGGGAAGAAUAGGCCAUUUUCCAAUAUCCCUGUACAUCUAAUUAUAUAUAGGUAUACUUAAAAUUCAUCAUGAAAAACACUUUAAGAGAAUAUUCUGUUUUUUAAAAUUUCUGAUCAAAAAUCAGAUACAUUAUGUGAUUAAUCUUAAAAGCAGCAGCGAGCAUCUAUUUUUGUUUGAUGUUCAAAUAAGCCUACUGGCUUAAGACCCAGAGCUAAGGUUAUCUCAUUUUGGCUCAAGCGCCACAAAGCUGGGAAAUUGGAACCUAAGUCUGAUGCCUUAACAGAAGUGUCAUGUGAUCAGUAAUGAUGUUGUACAAUGUCACAAAUUGUGCUCACUUACAACUUGUACUCCAUACACCCACAUGGACUGUGCAGGGAAUCUUUGCUGGUGCUAGGCACUCUAUCUUCACCAUCCUGGGUUGGGUCACAAAAACCAAGAAAAGGUGUGAGUGCAUGGAAGACAAGCUGUAAGCAAGCACAAUUUGUUUUAUUAUAUUUGUGACUCUAAAUAUGCACAUUAACUUCUGUCUCUGGUUUCAUGAUACGUUUCAGUUUUGACUCUGGCAAAUUGAAAGUGAUAGGCACAAUCGGUGAUAUGAGUGUUCUGGAAACAUUUGAAUUGGAACAUUUUUCCAUGCAAAAAUUUGCCUCAUUUGCAUAAAAUUUACAUAAGUUUUUUUCCUAUCAGAACAAUUUACUAUACAUACUUCCCUGAUGCCCUGAAUAGAUUGUGAUCUGAUUUGGCAUGUUAUUUUAUAUAUCUAGUAAAUAUAACACUAAAAAAAGUACACCAUGUUACUUUUAUAAGCUGUAUAAAUAAGUGAAAGUUUUUUGAGUAGCUAAGUAGUUGAACAGAAAUAUUUGAUUGGGGAAAAUUCAAUAAAAAUUGAUUUAAAUGUUAUAUUAAAACAAAUGACUUAUAUUGGAACACCUGUGAAUAUUCUAACAUGGCAAAAAAUAUAACAAGUUUAAAAGAUUUUGAAUAAUUUCCCAAUCACCUACAACACACACAAUCUUGUCACUAAAAUUAGCUGAAUGCGCUACUUUUUACACUGAAAUAUGCUUGGGGAAAUGUUUAAAUGAUUCUUUACAAGAUGAAAUUCUGAAUAUAAUCAUAUUUUAAUUGUUGUUCUCAACAGAAUUCUUUACAUUCACUAAUCAGAUCAAUUAUUCCAAAUGACAUCAUGCCCAAGAAAAGCAAAUCUUUCUCAGGUUCAAAUGUACUAUGAUUCAAAUGUACCAUAUAUGACAAUUAUUCAAUAAAAUGAAUAAUGUUUGAAGUUGAAAUCCUAUAAAUUUCAAAUUCUUCUUUUACUUUCUUUUUGCAAGUAUGUAAUAAAAAAUUCUAUGACAUA